rnacentral:lncRNA from 1 species
GAGCUAAUUAAUUUAUUGGAUUAAUGCCUGCUUCAACCUUGCCAAGCAUGUACCAUAAUGUGAUCUGUAGUUUCUUGUCACUCAAUGGCAAAAAUUUCCACUAAAUGGACUCUCAUCUCGGAUCUCAGACUUGUUAUAUAGUUUUUGAUUUUUUUACUAAUAACUUAGCUGCUAAGUAGGCUACUGAUGGUACAUUGCGUAGGGUUGCAUAUGGAACGUGAAUUUCUAGCCC